rnacentral:rRNA from 1 species
GGAAUCUUCCACAAUGGGCGCAAGCCUGAUGGGGCAACGCCGCGUGAGUGAAGAAGGUCUUCGGAUCGUAAAACUCUGUUGUAAGAGAAGAACGUGUGUGAGAGUGGAAAGUUCACACAGUGACGGUAACUUACCAGAAAGGGACGGCUAACUACGUGCCAG